rnacentral:piRNA from 1 species
UCCCUGUUCAAGGUCAUACCACAGGAAAC